rnacentral:rRNA from 1 species
GCCCGCAGGGAGCCGGAGACAGUGCUGCAUGGCUGUCGUCAGCUCGUGUCGUGAGAUGUUGGUUAAGUCCGCAACGAGCGCAACCUCGCCUUUAGUUGCCAGCAUUUAGUUGGGCACUCUAAAGGGACUGCCGGUGUUAAACCGGAGGAAGGUGGGGAUGACGUCAAGUCCUCAUGGCCUUUUAUGCCUAGGGCUACACACGUGCUACAAUGGGCGGUACAAAGGGUUGCAAUCCCGCGAGGGGGAGCCAAUCCCAAAAAGCCGUUCUCAGUUCGGAUUGGAGUCUGCAACUCGACUCCAUGAAGUUGGAAUCGCUAGUAAUCGUGGAUCAGCAUGCCACGGUGAAUACGUUCCCGGGCCUU